GCCCGUUUCUGAGAUGUAGAUUCACUUCAAUACCGAAUUUAUUAAGUUUAUCAUACUAGGAUAAACCGGUUUAAUAAAAGUAGAAUUCCGUUUUUCCCGGAAUCAAUCCUAAUUGUUUCCGAAUUUAGUCACUUUUCAUAAUACGUCAUUUCGUGACAUCAUUCAUGCGUUGUUAACCAAGUGCAAAGGCUGCCAGCAUAGUUAACUAUAAC
rnacentral:lncRNA from 1 species